rnacentral:lncRNA from 1 species
CCUCCACCGUAUAUUCACACUACAAUAAACAGAAAAGAACUGGAGCUCUGUGGUUACAUGACAGGACGUGAGUGGGCUGCUGCAGGGCAGUGGGUGACCUCAUACAGCAGCAGCAGCAGUCGAGGAGGCCUGAGAAUCUCAGCUCUCUGCUCUAAAUACCACUUUAAUUGGAGUGGACAACCACAGACAGCCAUCUUGGCUCAUAGUGAUACAGUAGCAGCCAUGAUGAGUCAUUCAUAAUUAGGACGAAGGAGACUAACUCUCCACUCAUAUCAGGGUGACGUUGGCCCUAACAGGCUAGACUGAUCUAAGGUCAGUUUUAUGUUACUCUCCAGCUAAUGGUUCUGAUUUGGGAACGGAAAGCUGAUCCUAGAUCUGUGCCUGGUGCAGUAUUAGCCAUUAGUCACCGGUGUUAAGUAGGGUUUAAAGAGACGUGCCACCCACUAUGUAGUGCUCUACACCCUCCCUACUGCAGGUCGUCAUUCAUUAUAUAAUGCAACAGACGGAUGAUGUGUCCCAAAUGACACCCCCUCAUUCCGUAUAUAGAGCACUACUUCUGACCAGGGCUCUGACCCUAACCUUAAGAAUAGCAGCAGCAUACUAACAUCCCAACACUGAGUGGUGGUUGUGAGGACCCAGAUUAAGUCAAUGCUACUAUUGGACUAGACAGCAUGUUCAAAGGGGUUCAACAUCCCAUAACAGAAAUAAAACAGGGAGGGACCUAGCUGAAUUCGUCCAAUAGAAACUCUCAUUUUCAUUGCAUAAAAGGUUUUUAUGUUCGGAGUUAAAACGAUUCCAGUUGCAAAAUACUUUGCUACAGUGGAAAACAAAUGAAUACAGCCCCUGGACAUAAAGCAUGUUUAAAAGGCUUCCAAAUCCCAUAUUUCAAAAGGCUCAAGAAAAUGGAAGAGGGAGAGAGAGAGAGACAAAGAACAAUUUUAUAUUUGUAUUUUUCAGACAAGAAAAAAAAAAUUGUGUUACUGGUUACAAUUUCAAGUCACAUAUUAAACUGGAAAGAAUAAGCAUAUUUGUGACAUAAGAAAAUAGAUGACAUUGACGGUUCAAAUGUGGUUUCAUUAAUUACAAAUUUUUAGAUUGAAUCAAUAACAUUGUAUCAACAUCCAGACCAGCUGAAUGUUGUCUUAGGAGUCAAGAGAAACAAACUAAAUGAAAACAAGAGAACCACGCCACCCCACAAUACACCACAUGCCUAUCAAUGCAGUUCAUCACACUAGUAGCAAAGAUGAGCAUCUUAAAUGUUACAUUUGACGGUAGGUAGUUGAAGAACAGUCCAACUCAUUUUUCCUGUCCUGCAGUUCACGUUGUAACCAUCUCUAUUGACUCUGCUGCACUGAUGGAAACCUAUUCCCUAUAUAGUGCACUACUUUUGAACAGGGCCAUAUUCCCCAUAUAGUGCACUACUUUAGAAAAGGGCCUAUAGAGAAAAUAGUUUGUCUCUAUGCCCAGACUACUGGCUGGAAUAACCAAUACCACUUUUGUAAUCCUGUUCCGUGUGGAUUAGAGCAUGACAUCACUGAUCAAUACAAUAUUCAAUCUGGGAGAGGUGAGAGAUCAGAUUGACCUGCUACGGCCACAGUGUGUGUCAGUCAGGUCUAUGUGUGUAAUGCAGGGUUCUCCAACCCUGUUCCUGGAGAGAGACCCUCCUGUAGGUUUUAACCCCAACCCUGUUCCUGGAGAGAGACCGUCCUGUAGGGUAGCUCUCCAGGAACAGGGUUGGAGUUAAAACCUACAGGAGGGUAGCUCUACAGGAACAGUGUUGGAGAGCCCUGGGGUGGUGUGAACGGGGUCACUCCACAGUAAGAGGAGUUCAGUAGCGGUCGUAAUGUGAUGGUCUCUGGUUGUAGGAGUUGUAUCUUCCAGACUGAUGCCCACCGCCCUGGCCGUAACGCCUGUCCCUGUCCCCCCCGCGGUCCCUGUCCCCUCCGCGGUCCCUGUCCCCUCCGCGGUCCCUGUCCCCCCCGCGGUCCCUGUCCCCCCCGCGGUCCCUGUCCCCCCCGCGGUCCCUGUCCCCUCCCCAACCCCUGUACCCGCCACGGUCCUGGGAUCUGAAGAACAGAGGGAGGAAGAGAGAGAGAAAGAGAUGUGGGAAGAAAAAAAACAUAUCAACCAAAUGAACAUGUUAUCCAUCCCAGCAAACUGUAGAAUGACAUAUCAGACCAGCUGCUAUUGUUGUGCAGAAACACUUCUGGAAAUGUCCUGUUCUUAUUAUGGCACAGAAUAAUACGGUAGUAGUUAGCAGUCCAAUACUGUGUUAAAGAUAUUAAUGAUGAGGAGACAAGCCAGGGCUGCAUUCAGCAGAUCAAAACGGUGUGCAACGUUUGACUGAACAGAAACAGUGGUGUUCUGAACGACCCAGU